rnacentral:lncRNA from 1 species
CCAACUCUAUCUUCUUCCUCUAAUGGAAGUAUGGCACGAGCCCCCUAGAAACUGGUGGUUUCUCUCCAAUGGCGAUUUCAUGGUUUCUUGUUGCAUUGGGUGAAAAGAAGACCUUAUUUCUUCAUGAGGAAACCAUUUCUAGAAUUUUUACUCUCUUUCUUCAUUAAUUAUGUUGCCAUGUCAGCAUUUUGCCUACGUGGCAAGUCAUUUAAUGAGGAUAGAAACCAUCAUCAAUACACCACUGGAACUGCCCUAAUACC